rnacentral:rRNA from 1 species
GAUGAACGCUGGCGGCGUGCCUAAUACAUGCCAGUCGAGCGAACAGACGAGGAGCUUGCUCCUCUGACGUUAGCGGCGGACGGGUGAGUAACACGUGGAUAACCUACCUAUAAGACUGGGAUAACUUCGGGAAACCGGAGCUAAUACCGGAUAAUUUAUUGAACCGCAUGGUUCAAUAGUGAAAGACGGUUUUGCUGUCACUUAUAGAUGGAUCCGCGCCGCAUUAGCUAGUUGGUAAGGUAACGGCUUACCAAGGCGACGAUGCGUAGCCGACCUGAGAGGGUGAUCGGCCACACUGGAACUGAGACACGGUCCAGACUCCUACGGGAGGCAGCAGUAGGGAAUCUUCCGCAAUGGGCGAAAGCCUGACGGAGCAACGCCGCGUGAGUGAUGAAGGUCUUCGGAUCGUAAAACUCUGUUAUUAGGGAAGAACAAAUGUGUAAGUAACUAUGCACGUCUUGACGGUACCUAAUCAGAAAGCCACGGCUAACUACGUG